UCCCCCAUGGUUGGCAUCUUCAUCU
rnacentral:piRNA from 1 species